UAGGGAAUCUUCCGCAAUGGGCGAAAGGUUGACGGAGCAACGCCGCGUGAGUGAUGAAGGUCUUCGGAUCGUAAAACUCUGUUAUUAGGGAAGAACAAAUGUGUAAGUAACUAUGCACGUCUUGACGGUACCUAAUCAGAAAGCCACGGCUAACUACGUGCCAGCAGCCGCGGUAAUACGUAGGUGGCAAGCGUUAUCCGGAAUUAUUGGGCGUAAAGCGCGCGUAGGCGGUUUUUUAAGUCUGAUGUGAAAGCCCACGGCUCAACCGUGGAGGGUCAUUGGAAACUGGAAAACUUGAGUGCAGAAGAGGAAAGUGGAAUUCCAUGUGUAGCGGUGAAAUGCGCAGAGAUAUGGAGGAACACCAGUGGCGAAGGCGACUUUCUGGUCUGUAACUGACGCUGAUGUGCGAAAGCGUGGGGAUCAAACAGG
rnacentral:rRNA from 1 species